rnacentral:tRNA from 1 species
UUCCCUGUAGCUCAGUUGGUAGAGCAUGGUGUUUGCAACGCCAGGGUUGUGGGUUUGAUUCCCACAGGGGACC